ACGAGUUUAUUGUUAGGGUUAGAGUUGAGCUGGUUAAUCUAAUUAAUAUUGUGCUUACUCUAAUCGAAUACAAGUCCACUCAUACGUAACCUACUGGGAACUUAUUCAUUACAAACAUGAUUAUUUGUUAUUGGAACGUUUGGAUUAUUAAAAAGUAUAA
rnacentral:misc_RNA from 1 species